CAUGUAGGCGGAUUAAUAAGCUUGAAGUGAAAUCCUAUAGCUUAACUAUAGAACUGCUUUGAAAACUGUUAAUCUAGAAUGUGGGAGAGGUAGAUGGAAUUUCUGGUGUAGGGGUAAAUCCGUAGAGAUCAGAAGGAAUACCGAUUGCGAAGGCGAUCUACUGGAACAUUAUUGACGCUGAGAUGCGAAAGCGUGGGAGCAAACA
rnacentral:rRNA from 1 species